rnacentral:rRNA from 1 species
CCGAAGGCGCGGGAUAGUAAUGUAUAUUAAAAGUAUCGGUAGGGGAGCAUUCCAUAUGCGUUGAAUGGUGAUGGUGAUUGAUCCUGGAGCGUAUGGAAAAGCAAAUGUAGGUAUAAGUAACGAUAAAGGGGGUAAGAUUCCCCCUCGCCGUAAGACUAAGGUUUCCCGGGCGAUGCCAAUCAUCCCGGGGUUAGUCGGGUCCUAAGUCUCAGCCGAACGGCGAUGGCGAUGGCAGACACGGUUAAUAUUCCGUGACUUGCUCAUUCAGCGAUGUGGAGACGGAGCAGUGACACUGUCGCGCCCUUACGGAUAUGGGCGUUGAAGGCUUUAGGCUAUGAUGGGUGCAGGCAAAUCCACACCCUGAGCUGAUGGUCGAUAGUACGGUUUUCCCCUCGGGGCGAACCGAUAGCACAGGUAAUCAUACUUCCAAGAAAAUCCGCUAAGCUCAAUGUUUGGGCAACCCGUACCGCAAACGGACACACGUAGUCGGGUAGAACAUACUAAGGCGUUGAGAGAUUCAUGGUUAAGGAACUAGGCAAACUGACCCCGUAACUUCGGGAUAAGGGGUCCUCGUUUUUUACGAGGCGCAGAGAAUAGGUCCAGGCAACUGUUUAACAAAAACACAGGGCUGUGCUAACUCGAAAGAUGAUGUAUACAGCCUGACACCUGCCCGGUGCUGGAAGGUUAAGAGGAGAGCUUAGAUGUAUGUCGAAGGUUUGAAUUGAAGCCCCAGUAAACGGCGGCCGUAACUAUAACGGUCCUAAGGUAGCGAAAUUCCUUGUCGGGUAAGUUCCGACCUGCACGAAUGGUGUAAUGAUCUGGACGCUGUCUCAACCAUGAUCUCAGUGAAAUUGUAGUAUCGGUGAAGAUGCCGAUUACCCGCGAUGGGACGAAAAGACCCCGUGAACCUUUACUACAGCUUAGCAUUGACCUUGGUCAUCCGAUGUGUAGGAUAGGCCGGAGGCUUCGAAGCGGGUGCGCCAGCAUUCGUGGAGCCAUCCUUGAAAUACGGCCCUUUGGCUGUCUGAGGUCUAACGCGCCUAAGGUGCGGACACUGCUUGGUGGGUAGUUUGACUGGGGUGGUCGCCUCCAAAAGCGUAACGGAGGCUUCCAAAGGUGCCCUCGGGCCGAUUGGUAACCGGCCUUAUAGAGUGCAAUGGCAUAAGGGCGCUUGACUGGGAGGCAGACAUGCCGAGCAGGCAGGAAACUGGGGCAUAGUGAUCCGGCGGACGUGUAUGGAAACUCCGUCGCUCAAAGGAUAAAAGGUACUCCGGGGAUAACAGGCUGAUCCCCCCCAAGAGCUCAUAUCGACGGGGUGGUUUGGCACCUCGAUGUCGGCUCGUCACAUCCUGGGGCUGGAGAAGGUCCCA